UAGUACAAAUUUCAUCCAUUUCUACUAUUAAAAACUGGUGUUGUUGAUAGAAUAAUAAGACAGUUUACACGUGACGUGCUACGUACACCACAUUUUGAAGUAAAAAAGACCAAUUUUUAACAGUAGAACUUGAUGGAAUUUUUAACA
rfam:Gossypium raimondii Chr07_contig_1437, whole genome shotgun sequence.